rnacentral:rRNA from 1 species
GUGGGGAAUAUUGGACAAUGGGGGAAACCCUGAUCCAGCAAUGCCGCGUGAGUGAUGAAGGCCUUAGGGUUGUAAAGCUCUUUCGGCGGGGAAGAUGAUGACGGUACCCGCAGAAGAAGCCCCGGCUAACUUCGUGCCAGCAGCCGCGGUAAUACGAAGGGGGCUAGCGUUGUUCGGAAUUACUGGGCGUAAAGGGCGCGUAGGCGGCGCAUUAAGUCAGGUGUGAAAGCCCUGGGCUCAACCCAGGAAUAGCACUUGAUACUGAUGCGCUUGAAUUCGGGAGAGGAUGACGGAAUUCCCAGUGUAGAGGUGAAAUUCAUUGAUAUUGGGAAGAACACCAGUGGCGAAGGCGGUCAUCUGGCCCGUAAUUGACGCUGAGGCGCGAAAGCGUGGGGAGCAA